GUUUGUUGAAAUUCAGACGUAACGUUACAGAAAUGCCUGCCGAAUUGUAUCGCGCGUUGUCCGCGGGAACAUUUAAUAUAUUUUAAACCGAUACAAUCGUGUUUUAUUCGUAUUUUUUUGUAUUCGCGCGCGGUUGUUGUGUUACUGAUUACCGACGAGCAUAAUUGAUAUAACGAUAAUGUGUUACCCCAGUGGCGUGAUUCCACUCGAAUAAAUAAUAACCUGAAAUUAAAUACCUGUGUAUUGCGCGCGAUAAUAUUAUUAUAUUGUUAUAACUUCGUUUGCCUAUAGUAAACAAAGAUUCCGGAAAAAAAAAAAAAAAAAAAAAAAAAAACAAAAACUACAUGUGUAUAAUGUAUUAAAGAUUAACGAACCCUGUGCGAUAUUAUACACACAUUGUUAUACGCGAAUUUUUCGAUUAUUCAUCAAAAGAAAAAUAAAAAAAUACACGAGUUAACAAAUAUUUAUCAUCGGUGCUAUAGCUGAAAUAUAAUAUAUACGCGCAUAAUAGGUAUGUAUACGUUCGGCUAAAUAAUAUUAUAUCGUGUACGAUAUCGUAACGAACCGAAAUUUUAUUUACAUUUCAUCACCGCGGUAAUAGUUACGUCUUUUUUUUUUUUUUUUUUUUUACACCGCUGCGGUAUUGCCGCCGUUCAUUAAAUAAUAUAAAAAAAAAAUAAUAAUAAAAAUAAAAAAUAACAAUACCGAAACGUUUAAUCCCGGGGGUUAUUUUUCGUAACACGCCCGCGUACAGAAGCCCUAUGUAAACCGAACGAUGUUAAUAAUACACGCGCGGUAAUACUAUAGGUUAUACCGUCCGGUAUACAACAAUUUAUAUUACACGUGUAAUCCGUCCUGGAAGUUAAAAAAAAAAAUGAAAAGAAUUAUAAUAAUAAAAAAACACCCCGUGUAUUUUUACACGUC